rnacentral:rRNA from 1 species
GGGUCAGUAGGUUGGUCGUGCCACCGGUACGUACUGGUCUCACUGAUUCCUCCUUCCUGAAGAACCGUAAUGCCAUUGAUUUGGUGUUGCGGGGAAACAGGACUGUUACUUUGAAAAAGCUAGAGUGUUUAAAGCAAGCUAACGCUUGAAUACAUUAGCAUGGAAUAAUGAAAUAGGACGAUCGAUCCUAUUUUGUUGGUUUCUAGGAUUGACGUA